AAUAAUGUAGGACAAAAAUUAUAAUUCUUUCCUAUAUCAGAUGUAGGACAAAGAUUAUUCAUGAUCCUCAAGGUGUCCUGAAGUCGUGUUAUGCAGCUAUAGAGAGUCGCAAGACUUCUGAUCUUCUGCUACAUUAAUAUUAACUCAUGCCUUCUACAAAAUUUGAACAUGUAAUUUAAUUUUCAAAAGAUUAUAUUCUUUCUAAUGUUAUUCUUGUUGGAUUUCAAAGUAUGGUCUUGAAAGUGAGGUGUCAACAUAUGGAGAUGUCUACAGUUAUGGGGGCUUGUUGUUAGAGAUGGCUGUUGCAACUUUCUAUGAUUCAUUGUGGAAGAGAGUUUGAAGUCUUGGCUGUUGCAACUUUCUAUGAUUCAUUGUGGAAGAGGGUUUGAAGUCUUGGCUGUUGCAAAUUGCGACAAUGGUUGGUUAUUGAAGUCGACACUCAACAGCCAAUCGUUUCCUCGUUUAUUGCCUCUUUGGACUUGUUUCAAGACGUCCACUAGAAAAUUUUAAGCUGAAGAAGGCACACUUUUUUUAUUGUCAAAAGCGAGAUGAUGGAGAGGUGAGAAAAUGAAGUUUUAUUGUCACACAAAUAUCUACAAUUUGCCGUUAUUAUGCAGGUUCACCCUACCGACGUGAAAAUCAGCACAGUAAAGUUCGUCACCAUCCAGACCAGUGAUGAAACCAGGGUUUAUUUGUAAGAAGCAAGAAGAGAGAACUUGAGAUCGAGGGUUUAAAGUUGCAGCCGUUCAAAUGUCUAAAAUGGGCCUGUGACUCGUGUAUUAGUAUUUAAGGCGGAAGAAGGGAUAAGGCUGAUUUCAGGAGCUGGACCAGAAGUUGAGAAGCUUCAGACCAAUUUCCUGGCCAUUCAAGCUCUGCUUGCUGAUGCUGAGGACCGCCAAGUGAAGCAUAACGCUGUGAGAGUUUGGUUAGACAAGCUCAUAGACGAUGUGUUGGAUGUGUGGAACUCAAAGCUUCUGAAAUUACGAAUUAAGAAAGCUCAAAAUGCGUCCAAGCCUUUGAAAAAGCUGCAGCAACCAGGGAAUCCUGCACUGGAGACAUCUUGUGAAAGAAAUGUUGAAUAUCAGGCACCACUUCAAUUUUAAAACUGAUAAGGUUCCAUCAGCUUGCCAUGUUAUGUUGUUGGAUGUGAAUUGGACCAGCUUUUAUUUCUUUUCUUUUCAAGCUGCAACAAACAGCCAUGACUCAAUACAUAUCUUGUGAAGAAAUGUUUAAUAUCAAGCACCAUUGCGAUGUGAGAAGGCUCCAUCAAUUCACCAUAUUGGUUUCUGCAAGCAAUUGUUACUUAUGCAUACGAAACACAUGGACAAGGUAAUUGGCCGUAGGACAUCCUAUAUGAGUUUGUUUCCUGACUUUUGAGAGAACAGUCUUGAAUUUUCGAGUUGCUUUUGUAUAAAUUGAAAGCAAAAUGAUCAUCUUCCGAUAAUGUAGGUAUUGAGUGUUCUCUAUAAUAGCAUUGCUCCUGGGUUCAUACCAUCUCUCGAAAUUCUAAUUUCGUAUCAGUAUAUGGAAUUAUGGAUAGUUUUAGCUUAAUUACAAUGGUAGCCAGCUCGUGGAUUUUUCACCCAAGCCGUCAAAUUCCAGAGUGGGAGUCGCUCCCAGAGUUGUAGCUACAGCAGAAACAAGUCAGAUUAUCCAAAAGUUGUUUGAUGACUUUGAAGUUUCUUUUUUGAUGGGAAUCAGUUAAAAAAACAUGUUUUAUGAUUCAAGUUCAUCAGGUUUACAGACGUUACACCCCCAUGAAUACCUAUUUUCUAAUACCUUUGUGAGAGAAUGAACUGUAAAAAUCGGUUCUGAAUAACUAGCCAGCCAGAUUGUAUUGUAGAUAUUGAUUGGCAUGAAGGAAUUGCUCUGUUUCAAGAAUUUCAUUCAUUGUCAAGUUCAAAGUUUU